CCUACGGGAGGCUGCAGUGAGGAAUAUUGGUCAAUGGGCGCAAGCCUGAACCAGCCAAGUAGCGUGAGGGAUGACUGCCCUACGGGUUGUAAACCUCUUUUAUAAGGGAAGAAUAAAUGGUACGUGUACCUUUAUGCAUGUACUUUAUGAAUAAGCAUCGGCUAACUCCGUGCCAGCAGCCGCGGUAAUACGGAGGAUGCGAGCGUUAUCCGGUUUUAUUGUGUUUAAGGGGUGCGUAGUGGGUUUUUUAAGUUAGUGGUAAAACGUGGGGGUUACCCCUUGAAUUGCCAUUUAUACUGGCAGACUCGAGUUCAGUUGAGGUAGGCGGAAUUAGUGGUGUAGCGGUGAAAUGCUUAGAUAUAACGAAGAACUCCGAUAGCGAAGGCAGCUUACUAGACUGCGACUGACGCUGAUGCGCGAAAGCGUGGGUAGCGAACAGGAUUAGAUACCCGUGUAGUC
rnacentral:rRNA from 1 species